rnacentral:rRNA from 1 species
UACGUAGGGUGCAAGCGUUGUCCGGAAUUAUUGGGCGUAAAGAGCUCGUAGGCGGUUUGUCGCGUCUGCUGUGAAAACUCGGGGCUUAACUCCGGGCCUGCAGUGGGUACGGGCAGACUAGAGUGCGGUAGGGGAGACUGGAAUUCCUGGUGUAGCGGUGAAAUGCGCAGAUAUCAGGAGGAACACCGGUGGCGAAGACGGGUCUCUGGGCCGUAACUGACGCUGAGGGGCGAAAGCAUGGGGAGCGAACAGG